UACGUAGGGUGCGAGCGUUUGUCCGGAAUUAUUGGGCGUAAAGAGCUUGUAGGCGGUUUGUCGCGUCUGCUGUGAAAACUCGGGGCUUAACUCCGGGCCUGCAGUGGGUACGGGCAGACUAGAGUGCGGUAGGGGAGACUGGAAUUCCUGGUGUAGCGGUGAAAUGCGCAGAUAUCAGGAGGAACACCGGUGGCGAAGGCGGAUCUCUGGGCCUUACCUGACGCUCAGGCGCGAAAGCUAGGGGAGCGAACAGG
rnacentral:rRNA from 1 species